AGAAAUCAGUCCCAUAUCUCCACCUGCUAGAUUGUUCAGAAGGUUGUUAUCAUCCAUCCAGAUGGAGGAUCACUGACAGGAGCGUGGGAAGACUCCAGAAUCCACUCUGGCUGGAAUCCGGUGGAUACAGCAGUGUUACAGAACAGUUCUCCACAGUCACUGUCCACAUGGGUCAGUGGGACCAAGCAGCACUCUGCUAAUGUGUGGACUCUGACCAGCAACAUCCAGCAAGACCCAGACAGCGUUUUCUAUCUCCCAGCUGGAGUUUUUUGUUUGUCUGUGACUGGAGAGUCAGAUUUUUGUUGAGGCUGGAGGAACAGCCUCACACUGGCAGAGUCUCUUUGCAGGAUCAGAAAACAAAACCAGGAGGCGCGUAAAUGUUUCUUCUCCAAUUGGAUGAUGAUAAGACCAUGACACGGGAUGCCACCUUUAGUCUUCUGAUGAAGCAAAGCUCAGGAAGAAGUGUGAUUAAAUGGUAUCCACAUGUGUGCUGCUGAGGAGGAUGUACAGGGGUACCUGCAGCCAAAUCCAAGCCUCUUCAGCAACAGAUGGUGACGGUGUGGAGAGACGGUGGUGUUUCCUCAGAAGAACUAGCAGAGUCACAAAGGGCACCAGUCCAUCUCACCGCCUUGACUUGCUGACUGAUGCUUGUCUGCACCGCACAUUCCCCCCCCUCUGUCCCCUUCUGGCUGCCUCUGCCUCAAUUUUAUCCCACAACUUAGACAUUCACAUUACUCACACUCUCAUUACACAUACAUAUAGGAUCUUGGGGUGGGCACGCCACACAGAAUCCAAAUUACCAUCAGGGUGUACACCUCACCCCCUGGCGCGUUGCCCACCUCUCAAUUUUAAAUACACGUAGACAUUGAGGGCUAGCAGGAGGGGCUAUGCGCCUACCUGCUGCUCUGGCAGGUAGCUCCAUGCCCUCCUGGGUUUUAAAUGCACCUUAGAACACACAUACAUCAACACUACAUAUGAGC
ensembl:lncRNA